rnacentral:rRNA from 1 species
AUUGAACGCUGGCGGCAGGCCUACCACAUGCAAGUCGAACGAGUGGCGGACGGGUGAGUAAUGUCUGGGAAACUGCCUGAUGGAGGGGGAUAACUACUGGAAAAGGUAGCUAAUACCGCAUACCAGACGAUGUGACCAGAUGGGAUGAGAUAGGUGGUGGGGUAACGGCUCACCAAGGCGACGAUCCCUAGCUGGUCUGAGAGGAUGACCAGCCACACUGGAACUGAUACACGUUCCUGACUCCUACGGGAGGCUGUAGUGUGGAAUAUUGCACAAUGGGCGCAAGCCUGAUGCAGCCAUUCCGCGUGUAUGAAGAAGUCCUUCGGGUUGUAAAGUACUUUCAGCGGGGAGGCGUUACCCGCAGAAGAAGCACCGGCUAACUCCGUGCCAGCCGCCGCGGUAAUUC